rnacentral:rRNA from 1 species
UUGCAUGGAUUAGCAUGGGAUAAUGAAAUAGGACUUUGGUGCUAUUUUGUUGGUUUCGAACACCGAAGUAAUGAUUAACAGGGACAGUCAGGGGCACUCGUAUUCCGCCGAGAGAGGUGAAAUUCUCAGACCAAUGGAAGACGAACCACUGCGAAAGCAUUUGCCAGGGAUGUUUUCACUGAUCAAGAACGAAAGUUAGGGGAUCGAAGACGAUCAGAUACCGUCGUAGUCUUAACCAUAAACCAUGCCGACUAGGGAUUGGAGGAUGUUCAUAUUGACCCCUUCAGCACCUUACGGGAAACUAAAGUCUUUGGGUUCCGGGGGGAGUAUGGUCGCAAGGCUGAAACUUAAAGGAAUUGACGGAAGGGCACCACCAGGAGUGGAGCCUGCGGCUUAAUUUGACUCAACACGGGGAAACUUACCAGGUCCAGACAUUGUUAGGAUUGACAGAUUGAGAGCUCUUUCUUGAUUCGAUGGGUGGUGGUGCAUGGCCGUUCUUAGUUGGUGGAGUGAUUUGUCUGGUUAAUUCCGAUAACGAACGAGACCGUAGCCUGCUAAAUAGUCCCGCGAACUUCUUGUUGGCGGCCGACUUCUUAGAGGGACAACUUGUGACCAACAAGUGGAAGUUUGCGGCAAUAACAGGUCUGUGAUGCCCUUAGAUGUUCUGGGCCGCACGCGCGCUACACUGAAGCACUCAACGAGUCCACCUCGACCGACAGGUCUGGGAAACCUUUUGAAAUUGCUUCGUGAUGGGGAUAGAUUAUUGCAACUAUUAAUCUUCAACGAGGAAUUCCUAGUAAGCGCAUGUCAUCAGCGUGCGUUGAUUACGUCCCUGCCCUUUGUACACACCGCCCGUCGCUCCUACCGAUUGAAUGAUCCGGUGAGGCCCCCGGACUGGGGCGACGCAUUCGGUUCGCCGGACGCGACGCUCCGGGAAGCUGUCCAAACCUUAUUAUUUAGAGGAAGGAGAAGUCGUAACAAGGUUUCCGUAGGUGAACCUGCGGAAG